UUGAAUUAAUAAUAAUUGAUUAAAUUCUUAAUUGUGGUUAUAUUCGAAAAUUCUUUAUUAUUUGAUUAAUUGCGGCUAUAAUUGAAAUAAUCAAUUGUUAGUUAAUUAUGGCCAUAAUUGAAAUAGCCAAUUUCAUGGUUUGAGACACUUACGACUAUAAUUGGAAGUUUAAGUCUUUUUAUACACAUGGCCGUAUUUUAAAUUGAUUAAUUAGUCCUAAUAUGGCCAUAAUUUAAAUGUCUAAUCAAGUGUCACGUUUUUAAUUUCGGCUAUUUAAUAAAUUUGCACAUUUUCCCUUUCCAUAUAGGUGUAUAUAAGGAUACACAAACAUAUACAUCCAUACAUAUGUGUAUAUCAUGUAUACGUGAAAAUUCCCCCAUAUAUACACUUGUAUACAUGAUAUACACGCGUAUAUCAUGUAUACAGACAUAUAUUAGCCCCUCCCCUACCUUUUUUUUUUUUUUUUAAAUUUAGGACCAGGCCCAGUCCAUAACGGACCAGACCCGACCCAAAUUCAUGAAUCUUCAGCAGUUAAACAUACCAAACGGGCCUUGAAGGUCUCAUUUCAUAAAGGGCAUAAGGGUUUGCCCUCAAACCCUAGCCGCCUCUUGGAGAAUUUCUCUCACCUCGUUCAACUUUGCCUGAAAUGGCAAAGUCAAGACUGCCAUUUACCAUGAUAGGCCUUGGCGUGUCAAUUUCGGGCAAAGCAUUAAUUGCUUUGCCCUUUCUCCACCACAUCUCAACCAAACGAGGUAUAGCACUUUCUCUCUCUUUGCUCUUUUUCUACAAAUACGCUCAGUCAAGGACGAAUUCUUUAAUGGAAUUUGUCUUGUUGCUAUUUCGAAUACUCGAUUUUCAUUGGUAGAUGAAGAACCGAACGGAUUGACUCAAUUUGGAGUCAAAUCUGACCCUUUAUCGAUUAUUUUCCUAAAUCCUAGCCGUUGAAUGUUGGGUUGAUAGAACCAUUACCAGAAAUUGUAAAAGUCCCACAUCAGAUUCAAUCAGGGUUUUGAGAUUUUUGGGGGUUCUAUAUAAAGAACCCAAUUUCUCACAUUUACACAGACCUUGACAUCGAAUAUGUCACAUAUUCACACAAAACUCGAUACUAGGGUUUUUAACAAGUGACUGACCGUUGAAUUGGACGCUUGUUUAAAUUUUCUUAGUGUUCGAGCAAAGUUUAAUUUUUUUUCUUUUGUGGCUGAGUUUCGAAUUGAGGAGCAGAGUCUUCAAAUUUCAAUCUCGACAAGGGUUGCACUCGAAAAAGAUUCAAGUGAAAUGGCUAAGAAAGCUUCUACUCCGAUGAGAAAUACAGGCUCUUAUGCUGAGAAUCGUUCAAAAAGAAUUAACGAUCCUAGGCGUUCCAAGGAUUAUGUUGAUUCGAAGAGUAAACAACAAGAAAAAGUGAAAAAGGUUUCUCAAAUGGAGAAACAAAAGAAGAGAAAGACUGGUGACAAUGUUGUUAAUGUUAAAGGCAAAAAAAUUGGUAAAACCAAACAUAAUGUGGAUGAGGAUGAUGA